rnacentral:tRNA from 1 species
UCUAAAAUGGCAGACAGAUGCAUAGGAUUUAAGCUCCUAUCAGGAAGAGCCCUCUUCUUUUAGAA